AUUGAACGCUGGCGGCAUGCUUUACACAUGCAAGUCGAACGGUAACAGGGUGCUUGCACCGCUGACGAGUGGCGAACGGGUGAGUAAUGCGUCGGAACGUGCCGAGUAGUGGGGGAUAACGCAGCGAAAGUUGUGCUAAUACCGCAUACGUACUGAGGUAGAAAGUGGGGGACCUUCGGGCCUCACGCUAUUCGAGCGGCCGACGUCUGAUUAGCUAGUAGGUGAGGUAAAGGCUCACCUAGGCGAAGAUCAGUAGCGGGUCUGAGAGGAUGAUCCGCAACACUGGGACUGAGAAACGGCCCAGACUCCUACGGGAGGCAGCAGUGGGGAAUUUUGGACAAUGGGCGAAAGCCUGAUCCAGCCAUGCCGCGUGUCUGAAGAAGGCCUUCGGGUUGUAAAGGACUUUUGUCAGGGAGGAAAUCCCUAGUGCUAAUAACACUGGGGGAUGACAGUACCUGAAGAAUAAGCACCGGCUAACUACGUGCCAGCAGCCGCCGUAA
rnacentral:rRNA from 1 species